ACUAGGAAAUAAACUGGCAGUUACAAGUGUCGCGUUCGAUAUUAUAACGUCCGACAUUUCAUUAGUAUAUUGUCAACGGUAUAACAUUGUAGGCGAUAAUAUUUAUUGCAAUAUAGAACGGUGAAAUAUCAUAUUGACGUGUCGGCGUGUUGCAUUAAAUUUCCAAACGACGAUAUUAACGAACAAUUAACAUUGCAGCCAGAAUAAUUAUGUCUACA